rnacentral:rRNA from 1 species
GACCUACGGGGAGGCAGCAGUGAGGAAUAUUGGUCAAUGGGCGGGAGCCUGAACCAGCCAAGCCGCGUGAAGGAAGAAGGCGCCAGGCGUCGUAAACUUCUUUUGUCGGGGAACAAAGGGCGCCACGCGUGGCGUUGUGAGUGUACCCGAAGAAAAAGCAUCGGCUAACUCCGUGCCAGCAGCCGCGGUAAUACGGAGGAUGCGAGCGUUAUCCGGAUUUAUUGGGUUUAAAGGGAGCGUAGGCGGUCCGGAAGGUCAGCGGGAAAAGCCAGGGGC